UACGAAGGGGGCUAGCGUUGCUCGGAAUUACUGGGCGUAAAGGGCGCGUAGGCGGAUGCUUAAGUUGGGGGUGAAAGCCCAGGGCUCAACCCUGGAAUUGCCUUCAAUACUGGGCAUCUUGAGUACGGGAGAGGUGUGUGGAACUCCGAGUGUAGAGGUGAAAUUCGUAGAUAUUCGGAAGAACACCAGUGGCGAAGGCGACUCACUGGCCCGAUACUGACGCUGAGGUGCGAAAGCGUGGGGAGCAAACAGGG
rnacentral:rRNA from 1 species